rnacentral:rRNA from 1 species
GAGUGGGGGAUAACGUAGCGAAAGUUGCGCUAAUACCGCAUAUUCUGUGAGCAGGAAAGCGGGGGACCGCAAGGCCUUGCGCUCUUUGAGCGGCCGAUGUCAGAUUAGCUAGUUGGUGAGGUAAAGGCUUACCAAGGCGACGAUCUGUAGCGGGUCUGAGAGGAUGAUCCGCCACACUGGAACUGAGACACGGUCCAGACUCCUACGGGAGGCAGCAGUGGGGAAUUCUGGACAAUGGGGGCAACCCUGAUCCAGCCAUGCCGCGUGAGUGAAGAAGGCCCUCGGGUUGUAAAGCUCUUUCGGCCGGGAAGAAAUCGCAUGGGCCAAUACCCUGUGUGGAUGACGGUACCGGAAUAAGAAGCACCGGCUAACUACGUGCCAGCAGCCGCGGUAAUACGUAGGGUGCGAGCGUUAAUCGGAAUUACUGGGCGUAAAGCGUGCGCAGGCGGUUUUGUAAGACAGGCGUGAAAUCCCCGGGCUUAACCUGGGAACUGCGUUUGUGACUGCAAGGCUAGAGUACGGCAGAGGGGGGUGGAAUUCCACGUGUAGCAGUGAAAUGCGUAGAGAUGUGGAGGAACACCAAUGGCGAAGGCAGCCCCCUGGGUCGAUACUGACGCUCAUGCACGAAAGCGUGGGUAGCAAACAGGAUUAGAUACCCUGGUAGUCCACGCCCUAAACUAUGUCAACUAGGUGUUGGGUGGGUAAAACCAUUUAGUACCGUAGCUAACGCGUGAAGUUGACCGCCUGGGGAGUACGGCCGCAAGGUUAAAACUCAAAGGAAUUGACGGGGACCCGCACAAGCGGUGGAUGAUGUGGAUUAAUUCGAUGCAACGCGAAAAACCUUACCUACCCUUGACAUGCCAGGAACUUGCCAGAGAUGGCUUGGUGCCCGAAAGGGAGCCUGGACACAGGUGCUGCAUGGCUGUCGUCAGCUCGUGUCGUGGGAUGUUGGGUUAAGUCCCGCAACGAGCGCAACCCUUGUCGUUAAUUGCCAUCAUUUAGUUGGGCACUUUAACGAGACUGCCGGUGACAAACCGGAGGAAGGUGGGGAUGACGUCAAGUCCUCAUGGCCCUUAUGGGUAGGGCUUCACACGUCAUACAAUGGUCGGUACAAAGGGUUGCCAAGCCGCGAGGCGGAGCCAAUCCCAGAAAGCCGAUCGUAGUCCGGAUUGCAGGCUGCAACUCGCCUGCAUGAAGUCGGAAUCGCUAGUAAUCGUGGAUCAGCAUGUCACGGUGAAUACGUUCCCGGGUCUUGUACACACCGCCCGUCACACCAUGGGAGCGGGUUCCGCCAGAAGUAGGUAGCCUAACCGCAAGGGGGGCGCUUACCA